AUGGACUGGGCUCCCUUCUCCCUCCUUCCCCUGGUUUUCUCCACAGGUCUCUGUGCUGCACCUGUGCUGACCCAGCCCCCAUGCACCCUCAGCAGUGAGCACAGCAGCUACACCAUUCCCUGGUAUCAACAGAGACUGGGAAAUGGCUCUCUGUACGUGAUGUACAUUAAGAGUGAUGGAAGCCAGAAGAAGGGGGACAGGAUCCCUGAUGACUUCUCGGGCUCCAGCUCUGGGGCCAACUGCUACUUAACCAUCUCCAGCCUCCAGUCUGAGGACGAGACUGACUAUGUCUGUGGUGAGAGCCACACACACAACAGCCUUUUCACAGAAGCUGCAGAGACACAGACCAAAGAGGAGUGA